UUUGGCUUGCUCUGCCCAGCCAGGGUCUCUGGCGGUAUCCUGGCCCCAGGAAAACAGGCGCGGAUCCAGAGGGUUCCAGCGCCAAGGUGGACUCACCGUGGUGGGUCGGAGGAUACCUCUGCACCGUAGCCCUGACGGAGUUUCCGUAGUAGGACGGGACGUGGUUGCCUUGACCAUCGAUGUUAAAAAGGAAUGCAUUCUUUCUGAAACUAUCAAGACGGCGCCAGGCAGCUCAGUGUUCGCAGACAGCUGUGGCGCGACGCAACUUAAGGAGGUUCUAGUGUCAUCCGCGCCGAGGGGGAGGAGCCUGGCGCUGGCAGGAGGGGACACGAUCCUCAGCACAAGGAAACUGCAACCCAAACCCGCUCCAGGACUUCACCUCCACCCCCAUCCCAUCCCCCCCACCCACCCACCCCCGCACACCGCCGCCCCUCCUCCCGCCCCUCUACUGACCGGAAAGGGGCGCCGCCAAGGGCCGCCUAGGGCAGAGGGGCCGCGGGCAGGGUGGGCGAGGCCCGCCCGAG
rnacentral:lncRNA from 1 species